rnacentral:rRNA from 1 species
UACAGAGGCCCCGAGCGUUACUGAGAAUCACUGGGUUUAAAGGGUGCGUAGGUGGCGCGUUAAGUCCGUUGUGAAAUCCCUUGGCUCAACCAAGGAAAUGCUUCGGAUACUGGCGUGCUUGAGGCUAGUAGGGGUCACUGGAACUGACGGUGGAGCGGUGAAAUGCGUAGAUAUCGGAAAGAACACCAACGGCGAAAGCACUCUGCUGGGCCGACACUGACACUGAGAGACGAAAGCUAGGGGAGCGAAUGGG